CGCCGCCAUCUUGUGGCUGGCAGCAGACGGCCGGAAUCGUCUGUCUGGCUGCUGCUGGGUGGCAGACGGGGUUCUUUGGCGACGCUUUGUACAGGAUAUGACAACAACCAUUGGCGUCAUGUCGCUGAGUAGCUGAUCCAGGUGGUGAGCGAUGACUCUGGGGAUGAGCCAGAGAGUCAAGAUACCGAGGUUCCCGUGGUGCACGGGAAAAGAAGCCGGCAGCGUGGUGGCGGCGGAUGGAGGUGCAGCUAAAGGUGAUGAAAGGGGUGCCAAGCGCAAUCCGUGGACCCCAGCAGAAGUGAAAGCUGUUGAAUGUCACAUGAUUCGGUUCAUUCACUCAUUCAAGGUGCCGGGCAAGAAUGACUGUGAUGCGUGCCUAAGGGCAGAACGACAAGCGCUGAAGGCUCGGAACUGGCUCUCGGUUAAGUUUUACAUUAAGAACCGAAUUACUGCUGAAAUGAGAAAGACCCUUUCCUGAAUAAAAUGUAUCUGCUGCUGAAUACAUGUUUCCUCUAUC